GUAGGUGAACCUGCGGAAGGAUCAUUAACACGUUUGUUGUUGUAUUUGGGUUAUCAUUAAUUUGAUGAUCUGAAUCAAUAAUACUUAUUUAUUAACCUAAACGAAAGUGUUUAUUGUUAUAUCAUUCAAUGAUAUACUUCUCAUUUUUCCUAUUCUCUACACAAAAAACACCAAUAAUCCGUAUCAAACUGGCAGAUUGAAAACA
rnacentral:misc_RNA from 1 species